UGAGGAAUAUUGGUCAAUGGACGAAAGUCUGAACCAGCCAUGCCGCGUGAAGGAUGACGGCCCUACGGGUUGUAAACUUCUUUUGUAUAGGAAGAAACCCCUCUACGUGUAGAGGGCUGACGGUACUAUUCGAAUAAGCACCGGCUAACUCCGUGCCAGCAGCCGCGGUAAUACGGAGGGUGCGAGCGUUAUCCGGAAUUAUUGGGUUUAAAGGGUGCGUAGGCGGAAAUUUAAGUCAGUGGUGAAAGCCUGCAGCUUAACUGUAGAAUUGCCAUUGAUACUGGAUUUCUUGAAUCUAAUAGAAGUAGGCGGAAUAUGACAUGUAGCGGUGAAAUGCUUAGAUAUGUCAUAGAACACCGAUAGCGAAGGCAGCUUACUAUGUUAGUAUUGACGCUAAUGCACGAAAGCGUGGGGAGCGAACAGG
rnacentral:rRNA from 1 species